rnacentral:rRNA from 1 species
UAGGGAAUAUUGGACAAUGGGCGAAAGCCUGAUCCAGCAACGCCGCGUGCGCGAUGACGGCCUUCGGGUUGUAAAGCGCUUUUAGAGGAGAUGAGAAAGGACAGUAUCCUCUGAAUAAGCCUCGGCGAACUACGUGCCAGCAGCCGCGGUAAAACGUAGGAGGCUAGCGUUAUCCGGAUUUAUUGGGCGUAAAGCGCGUGCAGGCGGUCUGACAAGUUGGAUGUGAAAGCUCCUGGCUUAACUGGGAGAGGUCGUUCAAAACUGUCGGACUAGAGAAUGGGAGAGGGAGGUGGAAUUCCGGGUGUAGUGGUGAAAUGCGUAGAUAUCCGGAGGAACACCAGUGGCGAAAGCGGCCUCCUGGACCACUUCUGACGCUAAGACGCGAAAGCUAGGGUAGCAAACGG